rnacentral:rRNA from 1 species
GACGAACGCUGGCGGCGUGCCUAAUACAUGCGAGUAGAACGCUGAAGGAGGAGCUUGCUUCUCUGGAUGAGUUGCGAACGGGUGAGUAACGCGUAGGUAACCUGCCUGGUAGCGGGGGAUAACUAUUGGAAACGAUAGCUAAUACCGCAUAAUAGUAGAUGUUGCAUGACAUUUGCUUAAAAGGUGCAAUUGCAUCACUACCAGAUGGACCUGCGUUGUAUUAGCUAGUUGGUGAGGUAACGGCUCACCAAGGCGACGAUACAUAGCCGACCUGAGAGGGUGAUCGGCCACACUGGGACUGGGACACGGCCCAGACUCCUACGGGAGGCAGCAGUAGGGAAUCUUCGGCAAUGGACGGAAGUCUGACCGAGCAACGCCGCGUGAGUGAAGAAGGUUUUCGGAUCGUAAAGCUCUGUUGUAAGAGAAGAACGAGUGUGAGAGUGGAAAGUUCACACUGUGACGGUAUCUUACCAGAAAGGGACGGCUAACUACGUG